CAGAUGAGAACUCUGUACAGGGUGCUGUGGUCCACAAGGAAUGGCUUGUCCAGUGCUGCAGUUUCCAUCUUUUACUCAGUUAAGCAGCUUUGAGUGUCAGUGCCUUUCUCACUGAGAACUGCAAAGCAGUAUGCUAGGUAAAAAGUUGGAGUCUUUAUCAUUCAUACAACUAACUCUAACCAUCUCACUCCUUCCUGAUAUCCUGUAAUUGUGUGUUGCUGUCAGUAAAACUAUGUAAUGUAGCACUUGGCAGUUUGUCAGCAGUGUGUCUUUGUGAGAUGGUUGAUUUGCCAACGGGAAGCAUCAGGCUUAAUAUGUGGGAGUGCCAAAUCCUCAGAUUUUCCAAGAAAUGCUUUUCCACGUGGAAUUUCCCAUGUCGUAGAUGACAGGCCACUUGAGAGAAUAAAAGGCUGUAGUAAAGGCAGGGGAUUAUGCAGUCCAGACACUUGGAGCUGAACUUAUUCUUCAAGUCUGUAUUCAGCAACUUAGCAACAGAAAGCAGACCCUGAGAAAUACUACAGAAGACUUUUGACACCUGGCCACCACAGUCUCUUUCUGCUUAAAAGAAAAACUCGGAAACAUGAUUUGCUUGUGGUUCCUAUCUCUUCUUACUUAUGGGCUUACACUACUGCAGGGGGCAAAUGGUUGGACAUACCAUUAUUCAGACACAAACAUGACCUACAGAGAAGCAGAGCAGUGGUGCAAAAAGAGAUAUACUAACAUGGUUGCCAUUCAGAAUAAGGAGGAAAUCAACUAUCUCAAUAACUUCUUACCCUUCAAUCCGGGUUACUACUGGAUUGGAAUCAGAAAAAUUAAUGAGGUAUGGACCUGGAUUGGAACUAACAAAGAACUGACAGAAGAGGCAAAAAACUGGGCUUCAGGUGAGCCAAAUGGCAAAGGGAACAACGAGGACUGCGUUGAAAUCUACAUUAAAAGAGGGAAGGAUGAUGGAAAAUGGAAUGACGAAAAGUGUGAGAAAAAGAAGGUUGCCUUGUGCUACACAGCUUCUUGCAACCCAUCUCUCUGCAGUGGCCGUGGAGAAUGCAUAGAGACUAUUAAUAAUCACAGCUGCAAUUGUAACCCUGGAUUCUAUGGGCCAGAAUGCGAGUUUGUUGAGAGCUGUGAUCCACUAAAGAAACCUGAUCAUGGGAGCCUUGCGUGCAACCAUCCAUUGGAGAACUUCAGCUACAACUCAUCCUGCACAGUUCAGUGUGAGGAAGGCUAUGAAUUGACUGCAUUGGCAUCUGUGUACUGUACCUCUUCUGGGAUCUGGUCUGCCUCCCUUGCAGCAUGCAAAGCUGUAACCUGUCCUGCCUUAGAAAUGCCUCUUCAUGGUGCUGUGAACUGCUCCCACCCCUCUGUGGAGCUCACCUGGGGUGCUACCUGUGAGUUCACCUGCGAGGAAGGAUUUACCCUGACAGGACCAGCCACACUGCAGUGUGGGUCUUCUGGGGCUUGGGACAGGCAGCAGCCAUCCUGUGCAGCUGUGCGGUGUGAGGCUGUAACCUGGCCAGAAGGCUUUGUGACUUGUGACCACGCUCCUGCAGAUCUUGCUUAUGGCUCACGUUGUGAUUUCCGCUGCAGUGAGGGCUAUGUUCUGGAUGGCCCAUCCAGCACUGAGUGCACAGCACAGGGACAGUGGUCAGAGCCAGCGCCAGUAUGCAGAGCUGUAACCUGUCCUGCCUUAGAAAUGCCUCUUCAUGGUGCUGUGAACUGCUCCCACCCCUCUGUGGAGCUCACCUGGGGUGCUACCUGUGAGUUCACCUGCGAGGAAGGAUUUACCCUGACAGGACCAGCCACACUGCAGUGUGGGUCUUCUGGGGCUUGGGACAGGCAGCAGCCAUCCUGUGCAGCUGUGCGGUGUGAGGCUGUAACCUGGCCAGAAGGCUUUGUGACUUGUGACCACGCUCCUGCAGAUCUUGCUUAUGGCUCACGUUGUGAUUUCCGCUGCAGUGAGGGCUAUGUUCUGGAUGGCCCAUCCAGCACUGAGUGCACAGCACAGGGACAGUGGUCAGAGCCAGCACCAGUAUGCAGAGUUGUACAGUGUGAACCACUGAGCUCCCCUGAGAAAGGCUCUAUGGAUUGCUCAGAUAGUUCUGGGAACUUCACAUAUAGCACAGCGUGCCACUUCAGCUGUCUGGAAGGAUGGAUGCUGAAUGGUUCUCAUGUUCUUGAGUGUAAUCAUUCAGGAAACUGGAGUGCAAGUCUGCCCACAUGUGAAGCUUCUGAGCAAGUCAGCUAUAUCUCUGUAGGAGUAGCAGCCACAAGUGCCUCUCUGUUGUCCACGGCAUCAUUCCUCCUUUGGCUUGCAAGACAUUUCCGAAGAAAAGGUGAGCAGUUGGAUUGGGUCCACUGGAUCUACUUACCGUCCUGCAAAAUUUACAGUGGAGAAAAAAAACCCAACUCUCCAAAUCCCAAUACCUAACUUUUUGAAAAAGUGAAAAUUCCCAUAUUUAAAUUCCAAAAUUAUUUUCAAGAAGCCUGCAUGUGUGCUAUGUUUGUCUUCUGGAUGAACAUUUGAAAAUCAAAUACUGUAAGAUCCCAAAUGUUUAGAUAACAAAAAUUAGGAGGAUAAAAGCAACAUUUUAUGUGUUGGUAAUUACUGCCAGGGACAGUGAAUGGGAAUUUGAGAUGGGGCUUAUGACAACAUAGUGGUAACUGCAUGUGAGAUUUGUUGCUAGAUAAUGGCUUUUUAUCAGGUAUUCUUAAAUGAGAGGGGUUUUUAGUAGAGGAAAAAGUUUGCAUGAGGGGGCUUUAAUCUUGAAAGGCUAAUACCUUUUCUUAUUCUUCUUGCAGCAAAGAAAUUUACUCCUUCCAGGUAAGUUGUGUCUCAAAAAGCAGCAUGAGCAGCACUGCGAUCAUUUUGCUAAAAUCCAUUUGUUAUAAACUAGUUGUCAUUAAAAUACUUUUCACUUCUGCUUUUUAUAGUAGCUGUCAAAGCCUAACAAUUGAAGGUAGUUUCCAAAGUGCUGGCCAGACUGUCUAACUCCAGGUGUUUCAGGAAUUGAAGCCAUCUUUACUUUUGUCUCGGAUUUCCAGAGAGUGAAACUGCAUGCAAAUCAGCAGCUGUCCAGAUGUUUUUACCCCUUGCUGACAAGAUGAUUGACCUUGUGUAUUGUUCAGAAAUGCUAAACUCAAGCUGUCUGGUAUUUCCAUUGAAGACAAGCAGAGUAAAAACCUCUGGCCUUCUGGCAAAAUACUGUCUACAUUAAGUCAUGUAGUUAUCAUAACUGGGAGCUUGCCAUCUCUUGUCCAGAUGGUGAGCAAAUAGUAAGCUGCUGCCUAAAGAGGAGGCUGGUUUCUCCUCUGGGCUACUCAAGGGUACCUAGGUGAGGUGAAGACAUGCAUUAUUUCACAUCACUUACUACACUGCUGGAGAUGUCUCCUCUGGAGACAUAUGGGUUACACUUGCAGAAACAGAAUAAUCAGGAUCAAAAAAUAUUUAUUGACUAGUUUUGAAACCAUUGAUCUGGUUUGUUGUUGAAGUCAAUUUCAGAGGAUGUCCCAGUCAAGAAAUACACCUGUAGUGCUUAUAUUAGGUACUCUGGUUUCUGAAUGCAGCAAGUAGAUCUGAAAUGGUCUCAUCCCUGUGGGAUUAUGUACUGUAAUACAGGUGUAUACACAAAUUUAAUUGCAUUUUUUACUAUGGAUACUUCUGUGAUCUUAACUAAAUGGAUUAUAAAAUACUUGUUCUUGAGUAGGUCUGUGGCCACUGCUCUGGCCCCAGGUAAUCUUAAAAUAAUUCAGAGGUGUUUGUAAGGAUUUCAUGCCUACAUAUUAUUUACAAAUACAGUGGAAGCCUGAGAUGUGUGUGUGUAUAUAUAUUGCAAGUAUGAUUUAUUAAACUGUUAAAGGACUUCAAAUGAGAAGGUCUUAAGUUAUGCUUAAGUUAUAAUUAUAAAUUAAAUAUCUUUGUCUUAGAAUCUGAUCUGUAUUGUCCUGUUUGUAAAAUUAUUUAAUAAAAUGUUUUAAAUGUAA